AUGGAUGAGAUGGCUACCACUCAGAUUUCCAAAGAUGAGCUUGAUGAAAUAUGAGAGGCCUUUGCAAAAGUUGAUCUCAACAGCAAUAGAUUCAUUUGUGACUAUGAACUUCAUGAGCUGUUCAAGGAAGCCAAUAUGCCAUUACCAGGAUAUAAAGUGAGAGAGAUUAUUCAGAAACUCAUGUUGGAUGGUGACAGGAAUAAAGAUGGGAAGAUAAGUUUUGACAAAUUUCUUUAUAUUUUUCAAGAGGUUAAAAGUAGUGAUAUUGCCAAGACCUUCCACAAAGCAAUCAACAGGAAAGAAGGCAUUUGUGCUUUGAGAGGAACUUCAGAGUUGUCCAGCAAAGGAACAUAGCAUUCUUACUUAGAGGAAGAAAAAUAUGCUUUUGUUAACUGGAUGAACAAAGCUUUGGAAAAUGAUCCUAACUGUAGACACGUUAUACCAAUGAACCCAAACACUGACGACCUAUUCAAAACUGUUGGUGAUGGAAUUGUGCUUUGUAAAAUGAUCAACCUUUCAGGUCUUGAUACAAUUGAUGAAAGAGCAAUUAACAAGAAGAAACUUACACCCUUCAUCAUUCAGGAAACUUGAACUUGGCACUGAACUCUGCUUCUGCCAUUGGGUGUCACGUUGUGAACAUCGGUGCAGAGGAUUUGCAGGCUGGGAAACCGCAUCUGGUUUUGGGACUACUUUGGCAGAUUAUUAAGAUUGGUUUGUUCACUGACAUUGAAUUAAGCAGGAAUGAAGCUUUGGCUGCUUUACUUCGAGAUGGUGAGACUUUGGAGGACCUUAUGAAAUUGUCUCCAGAAGAGCUUCUGCUUAGAUGGGCAAACUUUCAUCUGGAAAACUCGGGCUGGCAAAAAAUCAACAACUUCAGUGCUGACAUCAAGGAUUCCAAAGCCUAUUUCCAUUUUCUCAAUCAAAUUGCACCAAAAGGACAAAAGGAAGGUGAACCAGGGAUAGAUAUUAGCAUGUCAGCUUUCAAUGAACCAGAUGAUUUGAAGAGAGCUGAGAGUAUGCUUCAACAAGCAGAUAAAUUAGGUUGCAGACAGUUUGUUACUCCUGCUGAUGUUGUCAGUGGAAACCCCAAACUCAACUUAACCUUUGAGGCUAACCUGUUUAAUAAAUAUCCAGCAUUAACUAAGCCAGAGAACCAGGAUAUUGACUGGACUUUAUUAGAAGGAGAAACUGGUGAAGAAAGAAACUUCCAUAACUGGAUGAACUCUCCUGGUGUUAAUCCCCACGUGAACCAUCUCGAUGCUAACCUGCAAGAUGCCCUGGUAAUCUUACAGUUAUAUGAACGAAUUAAAGUUCCUGUUGUCUGGAGUAAGGUUAAUAAACCUCCCUACCCGAAACUUGGAGCCAACAUGAAAAAGCUAGAAAACUGCAACUAUGCUGUUGAAUUAGGGAAGUAUCCUACUAAAUUCUGGUUGGCAUUGGAGGGCAAGACCUAAAUGAUGGGAACCCAACUCUGACUUUAGCUUUAGUCUGGCAGCUGAUUAGAAGAUACACACUCAAUGUCCGGAGGAUCUGGGAGAAGGUCAGAAAGCUAAUGAUGACAUCAUUGUGAACUGGGUGAACAGAACAUUGAGUGAAGCUGGAAAAUCCACUUCCAUUCAGAGUUUUAAAGACAAGAUGAUCAGCUCCAGUUUGGCAGUUGUGGAUUUAAUUGAUGCCAUCCAGCCAGGCUGCAUAAACUAUGACCUUGUUAAGAGUGGUAAUCUAACAGAAGAUGACAAGCACAAUAAUGCCAAGUACACAGUGUCAAUGGCUAGAAGAAUUGGAGCUAGAGUGUGCAUUCUUCCCAAAGACCUUGUGGAAGUAAAGCCCAAGAUGGUUAUGACUGUGUUUGCAUGUUUGAUGAGGAGGGGAAUGAAGAGAGUGUAA